CAUGAAGCUGGAAUUGCUAGUAAUGGCAGGUCAGCAUACUGCCGUGAAUACGUCCCCGGGCCUUGUACACACCGCCCGUCACACCAUGAGAGUUGGGGAUACCCGAAGCCUGUGAGCCAACUUUUAAAGAGGCAACAGUCGAAGGUAGAAUCAAUGAUUGGGGUGAAGUCGUAACAAGGUAAC
rnacentral:rRNA from 1 species